UUGUUUACUUGAACAAACAAACAACCUACAUUUUGUUAGUUGUCAGUCUACUCAAUACACUUGCACAUGAUUUAUAGACCUCUACAUACUCUUUUGGGGCCCUACGCCAUUCACUCUUGUAUUUCACCUAGUUAUUAUGCAACCACACUUGGAAUAUCUGUUAACCACUUGUAAAUUAUGGGUUUGCCUUGUUCAUUGAAGAAGCUUGCUUUCAGUAUUGCAACCAUUUGAUGUUUUAUUUGAAUGUUUACUAGUUGCUGGCUCAAAAGGGAAGCUAGAGAGACCUUCAUGAAGGCAAAAUAAUGUAGUAUUCAAUUGUUGAUGAAUGAUGCGCAAAUUCUUCUGCAACCAAAAGAAGCCAAAAUGUAUAUCACCUUUGCAUAGAUUUCAUAUUCAUGAUGAUCACAAUGCACAAAACAAAUCUACCAAAGCACCAUCUUUCGUUGUUUUUACAAGAAUACUAUAAAGAAAGAGUCAAUGUCAGCAAUUUAUUUGAACUCCUUUUGUCAUGACUCGAAACCAGGCUUUGCCAAGUCCCAAAUGUGACUACAAUCUCAUUCAAAUCAAUGGUCAGAUUUGAUUUGAUUAAUUUUUGCACAAGCACAUACUUAUCGAUUUAAACCUGGAGACAUGUAAUUAUAAAAUAAAUGGGCGUUUGAUCAUACAGAGCAACUAAACUUUCAUCAAAACUAAACUUUCACAAUACAUAAACCUGAAAUCAAACCAAGAUUUAUUUCAUUCCGUCAUCUUGUAAUGCACAAAAUAGUUCAGUUUAGAGGCAAAUUUUACAUCCCUUGGUGUAGGUACAUUAUAAAGCAUAAACCCUAUCAUUACUUUACUAAUAGUAACUUCUAUCUAUUAGCUUUAGCUCGAGAUACACAAAGCUCUAACUCUUCCUUUUGUGGUAGUAGCUUCACUAGGUUGCUACAUUUUUCUGUUUUUCCAAUCCCUACUUCGCUCAAGUCCAUGUUGCUGAGUAAUCUCUGCUCCUUUUUUUCCCCCCGCCUUCCACCAAAGAAUGUUUUCUAUUCUACCCAAGAUUGACAGAAUGACAUUCCAUCAGACCUGCCUGAGUGUUAUACUUGAUUGUCCAGUGAAGAAGUAUGCUCUCAUUAUGUCUUUUCCUCGCAUAAUAUGACUCUAGUCUGUUGUUGAACUGCUUGUUCUCAGUCUGUUGGAAAUGUAUGCUAUACUCAAAUGAUUGUUCCUAAGAACUACACUGUUUGGUAACUUUGAAGUUUCUAAACUUUUACUAGUUUAUGAUCUUAUUUAUUAUUCUUUUAUUUUGAAUUAUGAGCUGGUCUAAUGUCCUUGAUAUUGCUUAAGUUCCUGAUUCUUUAUACACUAAUUACUUGUGUAUGAACUAAUUGAAUAUUUUUGUUUGACAAUCUAAUAUGGUGAUUCUGGUUAUGUAUCAUUUCAUCUCUAACUAUGUUCUUAUAUAUUUUAAAAUAUGAUUGAAUCAGGUCACUGUCCAUGUCAAGGGUAAAACUGAGUGCUACGAAUGCCAACCAAAACCAACUCCAAAGACCUAUCCCGUUUGCACCAUCACCAGCACUCCUUCAAAGGUUUGAUCUUUAUUGGUGACUAUGGCUAGAUGCCUAAUCUUGAUUUCUGUGUGCUUGUUUAGUUGAAUUGUUUUUUUUAAUUUAUAUUGUUCCUUAGAAACAUUUUACUAGAAACAAAAGUAUUAUUUUAAAAGAAUGCUGUGCAAGGUUCGUCGAACCGGGUACUGGGAUCUGUACCGGUUGGUGGGUGGGUUGGUACCAUACCGACAUACAGUACGCUUGGGCGUACCGAUUAUGAACCAUCACACCCAAUUUUUUUUAAAUUUUCAAGUUUAAUAAUCUAGUAAUCAAUUUUUUUCAACGUUUUAAUGAUUUUAAGUCUAAUUUGAUAUUUUUGAUUUUUUUGAUGUUUUUAUGAUUUCGGUUUAACCUAAAUGAUGCAUCUUGUUGUUUUAAAGUGAUACAAAAUAUAAAAUGAUUAGUGAGAUGUAGAAUGUUAUAAAAAAUACGAAAUAUCAUAAAAUCAACUAGUGAGGUAAAAAAUAUAAAAUAAUACAAUUAAUUACGUAUGUUUAAAGUACAACAUACAUACCGAUAUUUAAAAUCUCGUCGAGUGGCGAUGCCUCUCGUAGAUAUUCGGAUCAUCAAUAUAGUCAGGAGGCACAUCAGCCCAUUCCUCUAACCAAGCAGUUGUAGUUUUGUAUAUUUAUUUCAUAAGAUUGCGCUCGGGGUUAUAAGCACUUUCGGAUAUCUCGCUGAAGCUCUGACUUUAAGAGGUGUCCUCUGGCUGCUAAUACGGCCGUAAAUGGGCCUAUCUGAAUAAGCCGACAGCAAAAUUUGAUCCGUAAAAUGCUUCGGGCUACGUAGGAUAGUAGCCACCAGAAGACGAUACUUUAGACGCACCAUAUUCAUAUUCGUAUUUGUAUGGGUCAUAGGUUGCUUAUGGCUGCGGGUUAUAGGAUCCAUAUACGACUCAGAACCUGAUACAUCUAUGAAUCUUAGUCUACGUGCGAGGUCAUUGGCAGCUGCAUCGUGUCCUCCUGAAUAACCUUGAGGAGCCUAUUUUCUAUAUGCAAUCAUAUCCUCACGGGCUCUACCAGAUCGUAUACUGUGGUUUCUAUCCUGUGUAACAUGCGUAAACUAGGACUCAUCGGUGAAUCGAAGACCAUCCUGCGGCUGUCUCAUAAACGAUGGUCUUAUGCCCUCUACUUCCUCCCUGGCCAGCAUAUCUAUGACCACCAGAAUUGCUGCUCCUGAUCUUUGAAUCUGAGUGAUCUGGCUCCUCCAUACUCUUCAUGGGGGCUGCAAGUGCUUUUUGUUCUCCUUUUUUUGGUCUGCUGAGUAGUUGCUUGCUUACCCUUCUUGCUCCCUCUGUCUGCUUAUCCUUAAUGCUCCUCUCUGCAUGCUUACUCUUUAUGCUCCUCUCUGCUUGGCUAUAUUGGGAGGAUGGAUGUCAUCUUUCUGACUGAGUCGAUCGAGUAGCGUAGUGGCCUCGUCUAAGCAUCUCUCGAUUAUAUCUUUAAAAGGAUAUCUCGGACAAGGAUUUAUGUGAUGACUGGCUCCUCAGUCAUCUUUGUAGGAUGUGUGGAAUAUGGCGAUCUACCCAUUGAUCUGCAUCGACCCUAGUCUUGUUGGCUACGAAAUUGGCCGGUUAUGGAGGCAAUCCUCGCUCAUCAAACUCCGGCUUCUGCUGUUGGCCUACAAGCUAUCCGAUCAUAGAAUCAUCCUCAUCGUCAAUGAAAGUAUUACGGAUCAUGUGGCCGUCGCUCCAUCAAGAUCUCUCCGGCAGCCUUAUAUUGUGGUCCAUUAUCAAUGAUGACAUGCAAAACAUUGUCUUCUUCUACUUGAUCAAUCACCUAUAUCAAUUUGAGGAUGUACGUAGCGUCGUGCACUUGUUCGGAAGCAUCAACCAACUUAUGGAAGAAAGUCUUCGUAUCACAAUAUGUCAAAAAGUUGAUAAUGCUCUGUCUGGUAGGACCGGUCCAAUCACCACGCAUCACUGUCAGUCCAUAUGUGGGCUACUUGCUCUUGUCUGAGGCAAUCAAUUUCUCUAUCUCCUCAUUAUUGUCAAAAAGUUCACUGUAAAUGUUUUUCGGUUCUGGAGAUUUGCAUCGGGGCCGGCUACCUGUAUGGAGAAAAUGAUAGACCUAUAGUACGUAUUGUCUGCCACAUUCGUUGGGAUGUGGCUGAAGUGGAACUAGGAUCCAAUAGCUCGCCACAUAUCCUUCUUCUUAUCCUUCUUCAACAUUGUGCCAACCCUUUGUUGCUUUGAAUCCCUGCUGGAGAAGGCACGUGGAUCUAACUUAUAGAUGGUGGCUCCUGGUAGAAUUUCUCUGGAGGACUUCUUUUUGCUACAAAAGUCCUCCGUAUAGAUGCAAUAUGGCCACCGCUUCUGCUGACGAUCUCCCUCAUUAAGGAAGUUUUCUUAAACUCUGGAUCUGCUUUGCUGCUUGUAGAACUGGAGCCCGAGUCGUAGUAUGAAGGCCCAAAUCGAGCCCUAUGCCUGACCAUCUCAUCCUGCUGCCACUAAUUAUCCAGGCUCGCCUGAAUGGUAGUUUAGAUCUGUGCCUCCUCGUCAUAUGGAGCGGAUGCCUCCUCUGACUCACUGGAGUGAUAGGAAGGUGGCUUUGCCGCUUGGUAGUCUACGUUUGCCUUUUUCUUGAAAACUCACUCUCUCCUUCGCUGCUCUAAAAUUAGCGAAAUGCUUUUUCAUCAGCUGUCGAACCUCUUUUGGGUAUUUUCGGCAUAUAGAUAUGUUGGAAGUAACCACCAACUAAGUGCUGCUUCAAUCUGGUUAUCCCUCCUUUUUUGAGCUCUAUGUUGCACCAGUUGCACUUUAAAUGGUACCGAUCCGAGAGCAUUUGCAUAUGAUUCCUACCAAUUUUAUGCUCUUGCUCCUUUUUCAUUGAUGGUUCCAUUCCUGUAGGUUUAUCAAGUAUAUCAGUUAAUCAAUUAUUUAAAAACAGUAAAAUUUCGUUACAAUGAAGAUAAUUUUUUUAUCUCAAAAAUACAUCUGAUUUGUCUAAUACAUAAUACUAAUUUUCAUAUUAUUUAUUUAUUUAUUUUUUAAAUUUUAAAAUAUGUUUAAAUAUCAUAAAUUCAAAAAAAUAUGUUUUCUACUUCAGAAAAUACUUCUAAUUAUGUAAUAUGUACUACUAAUUUUUCAUAAUUUUUGGUAUUAAUUAUAUAUUUUUAAAUAUUUUUUAUAUUUAAAAAUAAUUUAUAAAUAUAACUAUUUAAAAAAAUUAAUUUCAGCUCAGAUCUAUGUAGAACUUAACAAUGGAUGCUACAUAUUUUUCUAGGCUCAUAGGCAUGCAUCAAAUACUACUUAUUUCUCAUUUUUUUUUCAAAUUUAAGUCUAGGCCAUUGCGCACAUGAUCGCAUCAAAAAUUUGAAUAUAUGAACACCAAUUUUUUUUGCAGAGUAGCUUGCAUGCCUUUAAAUGCGCUUUUGAUUUUAUAUUUUUUUUGAUUUUUAUUAUAUAUAUAUAUAUUUUAUUGUUAUCCAAAAAUGUAUUUUUAAGUUUUAAAAAUUAUAUAUAAUCUGAAAAUAAUUUUUUUAGGUCAUCGUGUAGAUCAUCCAUAGAUCUACAACAUAUAAUAAAAUCUAGCCCAAAUUGAAAAUUUUGGCAUGAUUUUUUCUUAUUUUGCAAAUUUUGAGCUAUUUUUUAGGCCCACAACAAAUAAAAAUAUAGAAAAUGAGAUAGGAAAGAGGAAGCAUACCUUAUUUAGGCUUGAACGAAGCAACUUUUUUUUAAAAAAAGCAAAGGGAGAGGGGCCCUAUUCCGAACCGGGUCGACUCGGUACGGACCGUCUGGUUUGCACCGAGUUCUAAUAGAACUAGCCGGUUUAGUCCGGUUCGGGCUUUUUUCGGCUGGUUCUAAUCGGUUCGGAAUCCGUUCUGGCCGUUUCGAGGCCAGAACCAUUUUUGAUGAGCAAGUCGACUUGGUUUCCCACCGGGUCGGCUCUUUACGGGCCGAACCGGGUGGCUCGGUCCGGUUCGGUUUACCUUGAUUUAAAGUAUAACAAUGUUGAUCAUGGUUGGUGCGAAAAUAGUAGUUCCAGUGGUGGCUAUGGAACAAAUGGAAUGAGUGGAUGGUAGGUAAAACUCUUAACUAUUUCAAAUGUAUGACCAAGAUUGUCAUUGAUUUACACCAUAGGCUAGGUGUGGUCUAUUUUCAGCACUUAGUGCACUUAUCCUACUUCUGAUCAAUGUCAGCAUUCAAGUCUUAGGAGACAUUAUGUAGUUAUUUUGUGUUAUCAUCUGUAUGCUCAAUGUCUGUUUUUUUUUUACUUCUAUUGCUCAUGCCCCAAAAUGAUCCAUCAAACCCUUCUUAAUUGGAUGAUGCUUUGCCAUAAUUUGUAUGGCUAUUAUCUUGUAUCAACUUUCUAAAGAUUUAGAUAUAAUGUUUUGUCUAUAAAUAUUUUAGUUUAAGGCACUUUCUUACCUACAAAUGCUUUACAGUCAGCCUCUCAAUUUGUAAAAUGUAACUCCAAUAAGGAAUUGUUUCCAUCGUAUAACUUUUAGAUCAUAACCAGAUGAUUACUGCUGCCUUUUGUUUGUGGAGGAUGUUUAGCAUGGUCAUUUACUAGCUGGAAGCUUUUAUUGAAACUUGAAAGAAUUUCAAUUAUCAUUUCGGUCUCGUUGCUUGAGUUCUCAGCUUUUGUUUCUUUUAGAUAGGGCAUCAGUUUCUCAGGCUUGCUGAUAAUGCUAAAUUUGAUAAAUUUGUGUUGUGCAUCUCAUUAGUAAUUUUUAAGAAAGCUUAGCCUGGUGACCUUCAUUCUGCUUAUUAAUUGGGCCUAUUUUUUAGUCUGUACGUCCACCCUCACUCUUUUUCAUUCUUGUUCUUGUUAGUUGAUCUAUUUUGUUCGACAUAUCUGUCCAGCAGUCUAAGGCCUCUGUAUUUAUCCCAUGGUUUUGAAAUACUUCAGUAAUCAGUAUGAGUGCAUAAUAGUCAUAUACUGGUACAGUAUCUACCAUGAUACACUCCUGUAUCAGCUCAUGGUUUGUUGAUUGUAUGGCCCAGUAUGUACCACAGUACAGGGUUUGGUACGGGUGAUACAAACUGCAGUAUGCUCAGUUUCUCAAACCUUGAUUUAUUGUGGGGAAAAGUUUCUAUGUUAAGAAUCAUCAUGGGACCAAAACUUAACUUUGUUACAGCUGAGGCGAUGGAGAAUUAGGACCAUGAUCUGAUAAGACGCUGCCAAUUAAGUAGAUCAUUUAGAAGCUGUGGGUAUCUUACAAUAACACAAUUUGAGGCUACAUAUUAAUACAACUAACUUUGUGGUCAUAAUUGAGGGCAAAGUGAACCCAUGAAGUAACACCAAGGUUUAAGACUGAAGUUGCAAAAGAACACUACAUGAAGGAGAUGUUCGUUGAACCAAGGUGAGAAAAGAGCUUGAACAGCAAUUCUAAAGCUAGGAUGAACAAGUACAAUGAUGAUCUUAAGACACAUGAAAGGAGAUCAAACCAGAUGGAAGGCCGAAAAUGUCACCGAUGUCAAAAUAUCAGGACUUGCAUGAAUCAAGAGUGGCCUACUAUCUGAAUGCCGUGUGAAAGGGAUGUAAAUGGAAUGAUGGCUAUGAGCCCGUCAAGGUCCGCCGUGCCGACCACACCGAUGUACCGGUUCGCACCGGUACGGUACCGGUACCAUACCGAACUGAACCACUACCGUACCGGUUCGGCUGGUUUGGACCAAAAGUCAAAAAAAAAUUUGAAGCCGGUACGAGCCGGUACGUACCGGUACUGACCGGUACGGAUUGCAAAUGGUCGGAACCGAAAAAUGUAGCUGUACCGUAUCGGUUCUGUUCGGUAUUGGCCCAUACUGGCCCAUACCGACCGGUACGGCAGACCAUGGCCCGUCACAUGGUGGCUAUGCCAGAUAGAGGCAUUGCAUUAUAUGCACCAGUUGGUCAAAGAGCAGGGAAAAUAUGUUUCAUCUAGUUUUGCUUGGACUUGAAGAAGUUGAAAAGAAAUAGCAAGAAAAACUCUGUAAUGAAAAGGAAAAAGGUCCAAUGCUAGUAGAUUACAUUGGUCUGCCGGAGAGUCAUGAAGAAGACUGUCGUUAUUUUAAACAGCAAGAAGAUAGGUUUAUAGAUGUUGCGAACUGGAAGAGAUUGGUUUCUGUCAAUGAACUCAUGGGAGACAGGUUGGUUACAUGAAAGCAAUUGUUUGCCUAGAAAACUAUGGAAUUAUUCAAUGAAUCAAGAAUAAAAGCAAGUCAGCCAUGUCAGAGUUCAUCAGGGCCCCUAUGUGUUGAUAUUGGUAUAUGAUUGUAGUUCACCACUUGGAAGGAUGUAGACUCCAAAUACUGGUCCAUAUAUAUAAAACAAGGAAUCAAAUCCAAAAAUAUCAACUAGAGGGCCUAAAGAAAGAUUUUUUGAUGCGACCGAUCAGGAUUGGUGAAUAAAAUUAGGAUUAUAAGGCUAAGGUUUGCAGUACUUGUUUGUACUGCCCCAUACCGGGCGGUACUGUAUUAUUCCGGUACCAACAUUCUUGGUAACUAACCCUUUUAUUAGGCAUACUGAUACUGUACUGGCAUGUUACUGGUAUGGGGAUUGGUAUUGAGAUUACAGACCUUGCUAAAAGUAACUAAUGUUUGUAGGGGGUUUAUGGUAGAAGUGAUUAAUGAUGUCGAAAUAAUGGAAUAAAUAGCUAACAUAGGAACUAUAAUUCCUACAAAGCCCUUGCAUCAGGCAGAAAGGGGGUAAUAAGUUUAGUACACCUUAGCAAGCAACUAAGCUUAAAAUAAUCUGUUCCAAAUUGGAAUUGGCUUAAAUUCAUUUUAAAAGAAAUGCAGAUGUCUGCAAAAUAAAUGCCACUCCUCAAUGACGAUGUAAUGACUUCGUUAAUCACCGCAGGAGGGUGGAGAAGAUCUACAUGGCCUUCCAUUUGUUUUGAGGGGAUAAGGGCAAUUGGAAAUGAGAGUGUGGCUGGGGUUUCGAUUCAAAGCCUUAGUAGUUAGAAUCUUUUACUUAGGAUAAUCCACUCUAGAAUCUUCCUUGAAUCUAAAAUGCACACCCACUUCAAGUGCUUCCUUAAUAUUAGUGUUUCUAAUAUAUUUGCUUCCCUCACAUCCACACCUGCACCCGUACCUGCACAUGCUCCCACGUCCCAACUAAAUUCAACGACAAUUUAGCAUCUGAAUAUUCUUUUCAAUGAAAGGUUAAUGUUGGUGAUGAAUCAGAGAACAAACUAGGAUCUUGUUCCCUACCAAUUAUCAUGCACAAGGCCCUGAGUGCACUAGAAUUUGAUGUGGUUUUGUGUUGGCUAAUGGCUUGUUUGCUGAGUUUUGGAGAUGUUAGAUUGAUUCUUUGAUUGUAACCGAUAACUAGUUGGGGCAUUGCUGUAAGACCAUGUGAUGCCAGGACUGUAUAUUGAUGGAUGAGUAGGUCCUUGAAACUAUUGUGAUGGGCAUGAGCUAUGUGCAGGCAUGAUAUCAUGAAAUUCAAGGGGUGAUGUUGAAGUGAAUGUACUACAGUCAAGGCUUCAAGAUAUCAUAUAUGGUUAUUAAAAACUCAACCUAUAAGCAGGACACCACACUGGUUACAUGCAUGCAGACUAUACAACAUUGUGCAGUCUCAUUGUAGAGUAAAAUAAUACUUUGAUUGUAGGACACACUAAAGGUGUAUCGGUGUUACUUGUAUACAUGAGGAUUUGUGUCAAUGAUCACCAUGCUAAUUUAGAUCAAUUCUGUUUGCUGAUAUGCAGUGAUGGGCCUAUUUAAGUGAUGUAUAAUUUCUAUUAUUUGGAAAAGAAUAAUAUUUUUUGAGAGAAAAAUAAAUGAUAUUGUGUACCAUUAGAAAAUAAUGGGAUAUUCACAUUUUUGAUUAUUGUACUUUAAUAUUUGUACUUCUGUUUGCAAACAAUGUGGACCAAAGGGUCCAGCAUCUGAAUUUUAAUAGUUGAUAAACUAAGAUACUCUAAAUUGCAGCAAGGUCAUGAGCAAUGUGUAUCAGCAUUUUCUCCCCUAGAGGACUCUAAAAAUGUGCUUAAUUUGAAAGUGCAAAGCCAAGUUGUUGAUGCCUUAUGACAUUAUAAAACUAACAGAUAGUGAUCUUGCCUUAUAUUUUCAACUCUAGUGGCUAGAUUUUAGAAGAUUCACACUUUAUGCCUGGCUCGUUCUUAUUUUUUUUUUUGUUCUCCCGUUGUUAUAUUAAAGCCUGUAUCUUAUAUUGGCAGUUUGUUCACUGUAUCGUUUGGGCAAAGGACCUGCUUUUUGCAAAGUUGUUUGGAGAUAAAAAUCAGGAGAAUGAUCUUGACGUGCGCCCCAGUGAUGGCACUAAUUCAACGAAUCCUACUGAAAAUGUGUUUGAGCGAAGGGCGGAUGAGGAUCCUGAACAGUAUGGUCGUAAAAUUUAUGAUCAUGUUUUUGGAUAUAACAUUGAAGUUGCAUUAGCUAAUGAAGAAACGUGGAAGAAUAGAAACAAACCUAGGCCUGUCUAUGUCAGAGAUGUAUUUCCAGACAAACUUAUCCUGCAAAAUGGAAGUUUGGAGAAGAAUUGUGUUACUGAAGAGUCAGCUGUGUCAGCUAUGUCAUCUCUUGGUCUGAAGAAUCCUCAGGAUAUUUGGAGUCUUGCUGAGAAUUCAAGAAUCUUUUUGGAGGCCUUGAGAUUAUUUAUUGAAAAACGACAGAAGGUCCAUCUUCAUUCUCUCAGGAAUUUUUAAUCAGUUUUGUUUUCCAUUAUUUUACCUUGGAUUCUCUUUGAUUUUGGUUUUCAGGAUAUUGGGAAUCUGACAUUUGACAAAGAUGACCAAUUGGCUGUAGAAUUUGUGACUGCUGCAGCAAAUAUCAGGGCAUCUUCUUUUGGCAUUCCUUUGCACAGUCUGUUUGAAGCUAAAGGUAUUGCUGGCAAUAUUGUUCAUGCUGUUGCAACAACAAAUGCUAUUAUUGCUGGUUUGAUAGUAAUUGAAGCAAUCAAGGUUCUCCAGAGCGAUUUUCAGAACUACAGGUGUGUCCUAAUGUACCUAAACCUACUUUGUGCUGCCUUUCUCUGCUCAUUUUACAUUUGGUAGUAAAUUCUUUGCAGUUCUUGUUACAUGAGAUGUUUUGUUUGACACUAGUUGUGAUUAGUUAGUUUGUAUUAUUCCACAUUUGCAUUUUUUAAUUGUUUCAUCUUUCCUCACUCUCAUAUCUGCUCCAUCACCUGGUUGUACUCGAGUAAUAUGGGUCUGUCUUUAUUUAUUCCAAUUGCUUGCAACCUCUAACUGUCUUUUGCUGACUAAAUUUAUGCUUACUAUUAUAGUUUUUAUAUUUGUCAGGAUGACAUAUUGUCUUGAACAUCCAUCAAGAAAGAUGCUCUUAAUGCCGGUACAGCCAUUUGAGGCUAAUAAAUCAUGUUAUGUCUGUUCUGAGGUAUUCUUAUAUCUUCAUAUAUGUGUAUGCGUAUGUUUGUCUUCGUGUUUGCGUAUGUUUCUAUGGAUGCAUAUAUCUUUUCAAUGCUGUAAUAUAAUUAUGUAUAACAUGAUAUGAAACAGACACCCCUGCUUCUGGAGAUAAAUACUCGAACCUCAAAGUUGCGGGACUUCGUUGAGAAGAUAGUGAACAACAAACUGGGCAUGAAUUUACCAUUGAUAAUGCAUGGCUCAACCCUCAUCUUUGAGGCUGGUGAUGAUCUAGAAGAAGAUGUUGCUGCCAAUUAUGCGUUGAACCUUGACAAGGUUAUAAAAUAUUUCUUUCUUAUAGAUUUCUUUAGCUGGUUCUAUUUUAUUGUGGUCUUUAAAAUAUUCCUUCAUGGCUAUUUUUUGCAGGCCUUAGCAGAACUUCCUGCUCCAGUUACCAGUGGGACUGUGCUCACAGUUGAGGAUUUGCAGCAGGAAUUGUCAUGCAAUAUAAACAUCAAACACAGGUCUAUCUUUGAUGAUUGUGUCUAUUCCGGGCCUUUCCUUUCCUUUUUAUAACAGCUUUAUGGCUAUCACUAGGUUUGGGUCUUGUCUUAUUUGUCAGUUUCAUUUGGUCUCUGCAUUGGUACCUUAUGUUAAUAUGCGUAAUGUGUAGUCUGCACAAGCUUUAGUCGAACUUAGAUUAAUAGGCACAUGAUUAAAUUUAGGUACAUAAGGGUCUGUAUAGACAUGCUAUUUCAAAUAUAUAGAAAUUACAUGGGAAGGAAGAAAAUAACAAGAUGACAUGGCAAUGUUUUGAAGGUUUUUUUAUUUCAAUGAAGUCUUUCUUUUUUAUUUCAGAAAAGGGCAUAAUAAAGUCAUUUUUUUAAUUGCUUAACUAAAUAAUGAGGGUCUAACUGUUUGCUGACAUUGUCUAAAUGCAAUUAAGUGAUAAAUGCAUUUAAGUGAACACUUUUGAGGACAUGAUAAAAAAUGAUGAUCUAGAGCAUGCCACCAUUUUCUUUUGUUUCUCUUAUAGAAAAUAAUGGGAGACCAAUUUAGACAGUUUUGUUAGAAAUAGUUAGGCUAAUGAAAUGGAUAGUUGCCAAUAAAUUAUUAUGAUCAAUGACUUAAGAGCAUUUAAUAUCUCAAGGAUGCUAGUAAAUUGUGUCCUUCAAGCUUAAUGAAACAGGUUGAAGGCUUGUUAAUGCAAGGCAGGCAUUUGAAUACCUACGUGGUAGUUAUCUUGAGUAACAGAUUUCUCAAGGAAUGUCUGGAACGAGGAUAUCUAAAUUAGGGAUGUCCUAAACAGGUAGUCAUCUCAAAUAAAAAAAAUUCUUUCUUGGAGACAAAAGUAGGGAAAUCGAAAACAUUCUAGUCUCUACAUGUAAAUGCUAUGGGAAAGGCCAAGUUCAUAAUGAUCUGCAUAAAAUUUCCAUGCAGGUGCCAAUUUUGCUGCCCUUGUUGUCCCAUAAAUGCAUCUGCAUCUGCUUUCAUUUUCCAACUGUAAACGUUCCAUCUCAAACCUAGUUUGGUUAUUCAACCUUGAAUACCAAUUUUGUAUCGAUAGCAUAGUCUUAGGAAGAAUAAAAACAGCAAUAUACAUUAAUUUGAUGACUAUCAAUAUGUAUCUAUAUCUAUAUCUAUAUCUAUAUCUAUANNNNNNNNNNNNNNNNNNGGGUGUUAGUAAUGUGGAUGUUUUUCUUAGAAAUUGUAUUUCUAUGUCAUUUUGGUAACCAUAUAUUCCCAGACAUUGUUCAGGUCAGUAUUUAUAUCAUGUCAUGUCAACUUAUUCUUUCUUACCCAUAUGUUUAACAUGAAGCUAAUAAUCUAAGAGUUGUGCUUUGCAUACAGAUGCAUGCCGUCAUGUAGGUACUAAUCAUCCGCAUGCAACGUGAACCAAAAAUACCUGUUUAUUUGAGUGAGCCAUUCGUCAGACACAUAUGGGGCUUGCAUAUUAAGUGGUCUUUGGUAUGGUUCAUUCUGUGUCAUGGUUUCACCUCCAUUUUCUUUAGCAUUGGUCAAAUUCUGAAGAAGGCAAAGUUUAUUACGUUGUAUUACCUCCAUAUGUAACUCCCAUGUGAAAUAUCCGGUUGUUUGCAAUUGUGUUGCCAAUUCAUCCCCUAAAUUCUCUACAUCCUAACACUUUCACAGGAUACGAUGUCAAAAUAUGUAUACUACAGUAAAUUGACUAGUCAAUAACACUUUCAUCAUAGAAAUUAUGUUGAUGGCUAUUUCCCUUGAGAAUGAGGAUGAGGAAAAAAGAUGGAUUGGCUAGCCGGAUCAAUGCAUAGACAUGCCAUCGGUUACUCACCGGAAAGGAUGAAGAAUGGGAUAUGGAUUUGAGAGUGUGGAUUCUACUACUUUGAACCUUUAAAGACUUUCAUUACUAGGAUGCUGCCAAUAAAAAAUAGGCAACAAUGAUAAACUAAUUGCAGGAAACUUAAAGAAAGAUCAAAAUUAGGUUCGUCAUCUCGGUAUUGGACCCAUAUCGGUACCAUCCUGUUGCAGUAUCGGUACGUCUGGUAUGGUACCCUAUUCGGCAUAGUGAGCGUCGGUAUGCUCUUCGUACUAUGUACCGGUUCGGUUACGGUAUGGUGGUACGCACCUGUACUGAUUAGUACGGUAAAUCUUGCAUAAAAUUGAUUGAAAAGUAAAAGGUGAAAAUUAAAAUAAUUUGUUUGAGUUGCAAAAAAAAAAAUCCAUUGUACUAUUGCAAUCUUGUAUUUAUGUGUGGCAUCUUUAAUUGUCUGGACAAUUGUCAUGCUUCUACUUUGUUGAUUAUUCUUGCCUGUUCAUGCCAUGUUGUCCACCACUACUACUACUAAGUGACAAUUGCUGUUUCUUCCACGACUCUUUAACUUCGGGCAACAUUUCACUUCGCACAUUCUUAGUCUUGGUAAUCAUCCCGCCCCCCCCCCCCGCCGCCGCGCAAAAAAAAAAAAAAUAGUGUCCUGAUUGAUAGCUUACAUUAUCUCGCUCAUAGUCUUUGCACUCGUUGAUACUUGGUCUAAGAUUGUCAAUCACAAGGCUUCUUGCCACUCGGUUACGAUCAACAUCCUAGCAUUUGAUCUUACUUAGCCUACCUUGCCGUAUUUGGUUUUCACUCGGUCUACGCCCUAGCAUCUAAUUUAUGUUCAGUCUACCUUCUGGUAUCGGGUAUAUACGUGGUCAGCACCCUUUCGUACUCGGCUUGUACCUUGGGUUGUCUUGAUGCUUGGUCCAUUUUCCAUUACCAAGAACUAGGUCCAUUAGUUGUCUCCAUUCUCUCCCAAAGUCCCCACAACUCUACUAUCUCAGAUAAUGUCAAAGCCUGUGACUGAUCAAUCUCUAGAUCUCUGCUUGUAAGGCCCAGCACGGUCAAUUGACUGGCUGGUCUAGUUCAUAUGAGGCCUGGCUUUGUCCCGACCUAGUGCUGGAGCGAGGCUCACAACGGCUUGCUUCUAACUGGAAUCAGGAGGAACCUCUAUUUGGGAUGGAGACUAACUCCAUCUCCAACUCUGGCAAGGCCACCAUCUAUUUAAUUCCCUAACUCAUCCCUAAGAUGAAUUGCACCCCAUGCCUUUGCUUCUAACUUCUCUCUUCCUCUAGUCCUCGAUUUUCAUCGCAGUUGGGUACCAUCAUUGUGACCGCGGUUGAUUCUCGCUGGAGAUGAGGUAAGAGCCACCUUUGCCCCUUGGAAUCUCUUUCUCCAUCUUUUCCUUCUAGAAUCAUCGACACCGACCUAGAUUGAGGCAAAGAAUUGUCGGAAAUUGAGCCAAGACCAUUGCUUCCUAUGUUUUCUGAUUCUCAUCCUUCUUUCGUUUCCUUCAUCGUGAUUCGAAGUCGGGGACCUUGCCUGACCUUCGAUGAGCAAAGCAACUUCUUAUGACCAGUUGUUGGAGUCUAGUCACCAGCGAGCGGGCUAGAACCCGAAUUGAUGCCGAGCCCCUUUGAUGGCCCCUAUUUUGGCCCAACUCUUGUUUUUGUAUUGUCUCGCCGACCAACCAUCAUCAUCGGCCGUUCGCCGUCGUGCAUUGACAUUGUGGAUUGUGAUCCUUCGACCACCACUAUUGCCUAGCCACUGACCUCCUCCCCUUCCAUUUUUUUCAUCCUUGUAUGCCACUAUUUUUCUCUCUGCGCUCUCUGUCUCCCUGAUGUUGGGUGGAACCUAGAGGGCCCCUCCCCUUUGACCUUGGUUGACCUCAGUGUGGGGGGUCCUGAAUUGCCCUAGUGAUCAGACAGCACAUCGGCUCCCACCUCGGCCCUCAUUGCGAAUCGUGGAACUCUAUCAUUAUUGAUCCCUGCUAUAUUAUCUAUACUCAAACUUGAUUCUGGUUCUGUGAUUUGACCAAUUGGAUUGCCUAGAUCGGAUCGACCUAGGGCAUCGGAUGCUACCGCCUAGUUGGCCUUGUCCUUCCUCCACCAUUUUCAUCAUAUUUUUCCACCAUUGCCUCGAUUUCAACCACCAUAUUAUUUAAUUACUGGACUUGAAUCCGUGUAGGGCUGCAAUUGUUUCGACAAGAAGAGGUCAGAAAUGGGUACUACAGUAUAGUCCUUUAGUCGAAGUUUAUAGGGAUUUUUUCAAGAAAUAAUUUGGAUCUGUCUGUGUUCUCAUGAGGUAAGCAAUGAUCUACCUUUUCUAGAUUUUUCAUUAAAAUAUAUAUUAUUUUUGGCAUCAAAUAAAUUGUAAAUCGGUUUAUACAUGAUUUAUAAAUUUUAUGAAACUGCAUUUUGAAUUGAAAAUAAACAUGUAAUUUUGAAGUAAUAUUUUGUGGAAUAUUAUUAUGUAUAUUGAUUUUAUAUGGUAUAUCAUACUUUGAUUGGAUUAUGUUAUAUAUGUCAUUCUGUAAAAAGAGCUCUGAUACGUAUUGGGUUUGGAUUUUUGGCAUGAUUAUGUUCUGAACUUUGCUAGUUGGGAGUUAUGCAUUGACACUUUGAUUAUUAUCGAGCUCAUUAUUCUUGCCUCCCAUAGGGUAUAAAUAUGUUAUUCUGGCCCAUGCCGCAGGAUAUAAGUAGGUAUUCCGGCCCACUCCGCAAAGUAUUAGUGUGGUUCUCUGUCUUGGCCAUAGAGAAUAAGUGUGGUUAUAGUUAAGGCUGUUGAGUUGAACAUGAUAAUUUCAAAUCGGAUUUAUGAAUAUAAAUAUGAAUAUGAAUACUGUAGCACGAACGGAUAUUUUUGGAUUUGUGUUUUAAAUGAAACUGUUAGGAUCUGUCACAUGCCGCAGAAAAAUUUCAAAAAUUUUCAGAUCUGCAGCGGAAGGGCAUGCGCGGAUCCCGUUCAUUGUAUGAACGUAUUUUAAAAACGAUUUAGAUGGAUUAGGAUUAAAUUAUUUUAAACCAUUUUAGAUGAUUAAGAAGAUCAGAUCUUCACCUUGUGCGGGUAGAUGGUCUCUGCAAAUCUGAUUUAUGUGGAUUUGUUGAAGGUUCGAUGGAAGCCGCAUACUCGUCCGGCCUCUACGGGUAUCCACAUAAGGUAAUGAACCGAUCGAAGCUUUUGGAUCUCCCCGGGGUGCUAGCUCCCUUGCAGAGAUGGCUUUUGAUGGUUGAUAUCCUCUUCUUUGAAUUAACUUUUGAUUGCCUUGAGAGAAGGAAGAAGGAGGGAUCUAGGAUGAAGAAAACAAGGCUCUUCGCAGCUUUUUCUUUUCCUUGCGCUAGAACCAAAAGAAGAGGAGGAAGGAGGCCACGCCACCCUUUGUUUUCUUCCCUUGUUCUUACGGCUGAAAGGAGGAAUGGGAGGGAGUUCUUGCUGCCGUGAAUGCCAAGGAAAAGCAUGAGAGGAGGGGCCGAAAUCCCUCCUCCUUUAGAACUACUAAUGGAUAAAGAUGAGUUCCUAUUUUUUAGGAACUCAUCCUUAUCCCAUCAUUUGGCUAGCUAGGAGGGGCGUACGCCCCUCCUUUCUCUUUAUACUUAUAUGCUUAUUUUUGGUAAAGAAUAUUUAUUAUAUGAAUUACCAUAUGAAUAUGAUUAUGAACAUUUGAAUAGUAUUGGAUAUUUUGGAUAUAUUAUUAUUUUUGAAAAUACUCAUUUACAUUAUUACUUGAAUUAUCUAGUUAAGGUACUCAUUACUUACUGGGUUGUUGAGCUCAUUAUCUAGUCUCUUCUUUCCUUACAGAUUCAGGAAAUUAGUUGUUAAUGGGGUACCACUGUGGGCAUAUCAUUAGAAGUGAGAAUCAACCUUACCGAUGUAGCAUAGAACUGGUAUUGCUACUAAAGUUUAUUUUAAUUAGUGAUUGAAGAACAGUAGAUGUAAAGACUCUUAUGAACAAGAAAUUCUGGAUAUUUUUUUUAUAGUUUGGGUUUAUUAAUUAUUAGAAAUUGGAAAUUGUUCUGAUUUUAUUCCAUUACGCUAUUAUGAGGUAUAAUGGAAGCCUUGCAUGCUUGCGGUAGAAGUUCGCUUUAAGUGUGCAACAGUUGCCAUAAUAGCACUAAAGAAAAGGAAGAAAUAAGUUUGAUGCUUUUGCUAAAAUAGCCCGGACACUUUAGAUUAUAGUGCUUAGUAGUAAAAUAUUUAAGAAUUAUAGUGUCAUCAUUGGGCUGUUUAGUUGCAUGCAAUUCAAAAGUAGGCUGCACUUCAAUUGCUUGCAAUUAGAAUUGCAAUUGUAGGAAAGGGGUCUUGUUUAGUUGUCUGUAAUUGAAAAUUGGGAAUGCAUUUACAAAAAAUUGGUUGUUUGAUGUGGAAAGAGGUAUGGUUACAGUGUAGCUGAGCUGGUAAGGUUCGCUGAGAAACACAGACUGAUCCUUUUUUUAAUUAUAAUGUAAUAUUUAUCAUGUUAUUUUUAUAAUAUUAUAGAAAAAUAAUAUUUCUAUUAAAUUAUUAUUUGAUUAGUAUACGGAUAAUUACUAUAGUAAUUCUAUGAAUAUAAACUAACUUGAUGCUAUAAUAAUUAGAAAUUAUUCAUCACAUGCAUUAUGAUAAUUAAUUGUUAUUAUAUAUUAUUUGCCAUAGGCAAUUAGUAUUAUGAUAAGAUUAAAUAAUACUACGUUACUCUAGUAAUAAUAGCAUUAUCAUAAUAUUAUUAUAAUAUUCUAUUAAUAUUUAAUAUAAUAUAGUCUACUACUAUCAUAGCAGUAAUGUCAUGUUAUAAUGAUAAUACUUUUCUAUAAUAAUAUCUUAACAUAAUAAUGUUAUAAUAUAUAAACAUUCCAAUAAUUAUAAAUAUUAUUAUAAUACAAUCAUGAUAUAAUAUAUGAUGACAAUAUUAUCAUAGUAUUAUAGUUUUGUAUUAUGAUAUAAUACAUAAUAUUAUUAUCAUAAUAUUACUAUUAGAAUAUAAUAAUAUGACAUAAUAUAAUAGGAUAAUAAUAUCAUAAUACUAUAACUAUAUUAUGAUUGUAUUUUACCUCUUUAUAAUAAUAUAAUUUUUUAAAUUACAAUGACAAUGUGAAGAAGGGGAAUAGAACCUGUUCAAAUGGCUUUCUCAAAAUUGUUAGAUUCCUUAAGAGUUGUAACUGGAACUGCAACCAAUUUUGGCUGUAGUUCCAAUUUGUAAGUUUUUUUUAAUAGUUGAAUUGCAGCCUGCAAUUGCAAUUGCAGGCACCCGAUCACUUGUUUUUGGCAUUUGCAUUUCUGUUGCAACCAAUUGCAGCUGCAGGCUACCAAUUGCGAGCAGCCAAAUAGCCCCCAGUUGUAAUAAGGUAUUUUUUUGGAUCAUACACUCCCAAAAAUCAUGCUAAGUGCCAACACUUCUAGCUGAUGUAAGCAUAGUUUUUGAGUUUCAUAGGGUUAUGCUGUUUUAUAUGAUAUUCAAGAUUUCAGAAGUGUUGGCACUGCAAAAAGGAUGUCCUAAUGCCUAGGGCUUCCACUAUUGCGGGGUCUAAAACCGCAGGCUUACCCUAGCAUGCAGAGAGGCUAUUUUUGUGUUCGAACCGGUGACCCCCAAGCCAAAAUGGAGUAAUCUUGCCAUUGCACCAAGGCCAAGUAUUGGUACUCCAAAAUUUUUAAAAAAUUUUAAAUAAAUGUUGAAUAGAGAAAGAUAAGAGCAGCUCUAAAAGUUGUGAUUUAACCUAUGCAUUCAAUGCACUAAAAACUAAAGCAAUCAUUGCAGGAAAAAGGUGAUUUGAUGCAUGGACCAAAUGAGAAGAUCAUCUUCAUUGAUGUAAAACUAUCUAGUGCAAUACAUGAUGAUAAAUUUCUCCUCUAUUGGUAGGAGCAACUUUUGGAGUUCUCCUGUGGGAGCAUUGCAAGGCUACCAGAUUUGUAUAUGCUCCAUUUACCUUUCCAAAUACAGUUAUUGUUUUAUUUUUGUGUAGAAGGAUACCACAUAUGGAAGUGUACCCACUUAUAGAGGUGUACCCACUUCAUAGUCUCCCCAGAAACUUCUUGCCACAUCUGCUUUCUAAAUGUUUUCUUUUUUCUUUUUUUAAAAAAAAGAGAUCCACAUAUCUGCACUCUUAUCUGCUCCCACAGCUGGAGUCCCUUCUGGUAAUGGAGGUUCUAUGGACUCUAGAUAUUCCAUUUUUUGUUGAUCUAUAUCUUGUGCUGAAAUUUGCAGGGAGGAGUUUGAUGAGGAAAAAGAACCUGAUGGGAUGCUCCUGUCUGGGUGGGUAGCUCCUACUGAGAAAGACGCUCGGCUUGUAAGCAAUGGUGAGAGUACAUCAGCUGCGCAACUGGCAGAAAAAUCUGAUGAGGAUGGGAUAGCUCCGGCCAGAUCUGGGACAAAGAGAAAACAAUCUGAGAUGUCGGAAAUGAUAGACAAUAUUGAUGAUAUGAAGCCUUGUUCAAGCCUUGACAUUGGUGAUCAACUAAAUCCUCAAGAGGUUGAAGACAAUGAUGAUGAUGAUGAUGAUAUUGUCAUGCUUGACGAGAACCCUGGACCAAGCAAGAGGAAGAAAUUACAAUAGAAUGUACUGUCAAUUAUUUCAAAUGAUGCAUCUUAUUCCAACCUGAAUAGAUGGUAUCCAGUUAUCUAUUAACAGCUUUUGACCUUAUAGGAUUCUAAUAUCAUCACUAACACAUUGUUCCUGGUGCAUCGUCAAUGUAAUUAAUUGCUUGGGCGAAGUCCAUGGACAUGGAAGUGCAUGUUUAAAAGCAUGGUGAAGAUUAUGUGUCCUCCAUAUAGGUUGGUAAGCAUAGUUGGACUGGUGAUAUUGGAAUUUUUUUUUUUUUGUACAUUUUGGUUGGAGUAAGAUGUGAUCUGUUUUUUGAUGGGUGUAACGUGUUAACUACUGAUAAUUUUUUGACUUUUUAAAUUAUGUAUGCAAGGAUUUGUUUUUACUGUUCCAGUUAGAUGUGAUCAAACCGUUGCAAAAUGUUGGAUCAAGUACUUGUAAAUUGCAGUGACUGAUACAUUACUUUCAGUACCCUGAUGAUCCUUUAGUAAUGCUAUCCUGGUUCCGUUUGUGAUUUUAUCAUAUGCUGGAUCAUAGCGUAGACUAUGAAUAUUAUAGGUAAUUUUAUCAGAACUGAUCUAGGGAAUUACACCAGAGAAUUUCUAACCAGUAUCCUCCCCAGCUGGUUUUAAACCCUCUUUCUGCUGCUUUUUUUACUGCAAUGUCAGGGAGUGAAUGAUGGAUUCCUGCAUAAGCUUGAAAAUUUUCUAUCUGAUAUCGAGAUUAAAUGAUUGGAUUCCCCAUGGCAUUUGUUGGCACGAUCACACUGGAUAUCUCAUAAUAUACUUAAAAUGUUAUCUUCUUGUUGUCUGUAAGGUCUGCUCCACUGUAAGUGAAAAAGUUUCUACUGCCAGUGAGCAUUCAGAUGCAUGCUCGCUUCUCUUUUAAUAUUCGUUCACUUUAACAGGUGCACCGGAUACUUGAAAUGAGCUCUCCUUGCAGGUCUGCAAGCUUGGAAUGCUGGGACCUGCCACAAAAGCUGGGUGGCUAACUAGUUCCCCAGUGUUCCUAACACUACUCAUCUCGCGGGGUGUGUUUGCCUUCAUCCGUCUGAAGUAAUUGAAGAAAGAUACUAAUUAUGAUGCACUAGGAUAAGUUAAAUUAUUUCUACGAAAUAUUUCUACGCCCCGGUGAGGGUGGUCGUUUGCGCAGAAGCUUGUGCAGUCUAUUGUGAAGGAUGCGCAUUGCAAAUAAAGUCUAUAUUUAUGGUAAGUUCACUUGAUUUUCUAUGUUCACCUAAGACUUUGAGAGAUGCAAGAGGGCUGCAUCAAUCAAAAGCGAAAAGCAAAUUUGAGAUAAAAUGUCCCAACUAUCAGAGGCUAAGAUCUACCAUUUAUCUAUUCAGUAUUCGUAUCCAUCAUUACCCACCCAGCAGUGGCAGCAAUGCUUUGAGUUCAAGGAUCUUUGAUCCAAGGAGUUUCCCACAAAGUUAUAUGCUCAUUCCACUAAUUUAUUAUCUUGACAUUAGUCAUAUUCUUCCCGAAAGUUUAGACUUGGUCUCAUUAGUUCCAUGCUCCCAAGCGCCACCCAUGACCUGUUUCGGUCAUCACCAGAGAAAACUGCAUCAUCUCCCCAGUUGAACUAACAGAGGGAACAUCCUCCUUUUCAAGUUCAAGGAAAGGAAUGCAUGGAAGCAAGUUAUGCUCCUGUGAUGAAGGUUGGUCUACCUUGACUGAAAAGAUUUUAAACACAAUACCUGGCUACAAAGGACCGAUAAACUUGUGAAUGAUAAUGCAGAUUCAGCAUGCCACUCAAGCGAAAUAAACACACCCAACCUUGAAAAUCUUGGAUGCAUUAAAUAUAUAAUUCAACAGGUGACAAGUGCCAGAGAAAGAAGCUUAGAGAAUAAUCACAAGGUUGGUCAUAUAGCAUACUGCAUUCUUUACCGAAACCCCUACAAACAGUUUGUGUUUCCAAAUUUCUCUCAGUGCAGCCACCUGUCUCUUGGGCCCUGUGUCCUCCUGGCCUCCAACCUGUUGGAAAUAUUAAUGACAUCCAAAUGUCGCUCACAGUAUAAGUAACAAAGCUUCAAUAUCUCCUUCUUGGGGGGCUCCUGGAACGGUGAGCACGUGGUGACCUGUGGAAAGAGAUAAAGUAGUCAUACAUGCAAUGCUUAAUACUUCUUGGAGGUUUCUUAUCACUUUGUAAAGUUGAAUGAAAAGCUAACUUAAAUGGACACCAUCGAAAAUGGAAACUAGGAAGUUGCAAUAUUGCUGCAGCAUGGAAGUAGGUGGAGUUGGCUUAAAUAGAUAACAAGAAUCACUAUCAUCAUGUAACCUGGUGCUCGAUAAACCUAGAAAAUCAACAAUGACACCAAAGAAAAUUCACUAAUUCAUCUUGUUAAUUUCAAUAUGGUAAUUAAAUAACUAGGGGCGGCAAUAAUUCAGGUUUUGGUUGGCUUUUGCUUAUCCACAUCCAAACACAAAUUACAUGUGUCAGAUCCGAAUGCAAUUGACAAUCCUAUACCCCAUAGCGAACCCAAAGUAUAAUUGGUCUUCGGUCAGGUUUCGGGUUACUACAUAGAUCUGCUGGGCUGUUUCUAUGAUCUAUCCUUAAAAUGAGGUGAGGCAAAAUUGCAAGCACAAGGUGCUGUGGGUGGAACCUAAUACUCAUUGGAAUUGCUGAACCUUGUCCUCAUCUCUGUUGCACAGACAAUCAUUGACAUCACUUGUCAUGGUCUCCAUCAUGAGAAGGAAAUAAAAAUUCUGGGAUACUCUUGGAAGGCAAGAGAUAAAAUAGUCGUUUCAGUCGAGAUUACUAAAUAAAAGAGAGAGAUUUUCUUCAUGUAAUUAUACAUAAAUUCACAUAUAUAAUUGAGUUGGCCAAUGGAUCGUGGGUUUGAAUCAUCCUAUAUCCAAGCCCAACCUAACAAGGUUUCAGAUUUGAUUUUGGGGAGCCAAACCUGCACCAGUAGAUUAUGGAGUUUGUUUUUAUACCCAAACCUCGGAUUUUGGGUGGAUUCAGGUCAGGCCAGUGGCAUCCAAUACCACCCCUACAAAUGAGACAUCAUCCUAAUGACUGAAAACGAAAAGGCUAAUAGCCACCUUCCAUAUGCUUUGCCCACAAAACAAAAGGAGAUAAUGUUAAAUCACAUACAAAUAAAAAAGCCAUAAAAGUGAGGCCUGGUGAGACAAGGCUCCCAUCAUUGCAGAGUCUGGGAAGGGUUAGAUACACACAACUUUAACCCCAUGUGUGGAGAGGGUGUAUGUGUGUUUUGAAUCCAUGAUACCCAGGUCACAGUGGAGCUACCUUACUGCUAUGCCAAGGCUCACCUUUAAAAAGGGUGCCCCGGUGCACAAGGCUCCAGCGCCACUAAAGGACCUGGGAGGGUCAAAUACACGUAGCCUUACUCUACAUACAAAGAGGCUAUUUACAUGUUUCAAACCUGUGAUGCCUAGGUCACAAUGGAGCAAUGUUACCAUGAGCCUAAAAACUAUCUAAUGUCACAAAUAGAGAAGAUUCGGAAAACUCGAGUUUUGAAAUAAUAUCCACAUUAUAAAAGGGAAAAGAAAGAAAUAAAGCAACAAAAAUAAUGUACAAUAUGGGCAAUACCCAGCUUGGAGGUUAGAAACUUUGCACAUCAAAUUAAAUUUUAAAACUCAGAGCAACCAACUUGAAAGUGAAAAUCUGAUUAAAUGACACAUACUACAUGUAAAGAAUAUAAAUUACUUGAGAAUAAAAGCUUACCUCCUUCUCAUGUUUCUGCGCUUGAUAGGACCUUUGCUAAAUGCCCAGUCAACAUAUAUGGUUUGUGUGAGGAGCUCAGUUCCAUUCAGCGUUGUAAUUGCAUCUUGUGCUUCCUUGAAGUUCUCAUAUUCAAUCAGAGCAUAACCCUGAAAGAAACAUCCAAAUUUUAAUGCACAUGUGGCAGUUAAGGAAAGACAGAUAUUACAUACAAACACAAAG
rnacentral:lncRNA from 1 species